rnacentral:tRNA from 1 species
UCUAAUAUGGCAGACUAGUGCAAUGAACUUAAGCUUCAUAAAUGAAGAUAAAUCUUUUAUUAGAA